ensembl:lncRNA
GUGUAUAUUAUAUAUAAAGUGUAUUUAUUAUGUUAUGGGUAUUUUUUUGACACUGAAAUGCAAGCAUAUAUUCUAAAGCAUGAAAUGCCAUAAAAAAUGCCUUGUUUAUGUGUGUAGGAAAAAGGGUUUAUUAGCAGUGAGCAUUUUAUUUCGGGUGUGCCACUUAUGCACUCUCACUGAAAUGGUGGGUUCUGGCUUCUUUUUCGGCUUCUUCUUCGUCGGUAAGACAGUUUUGUACUUGAGCAUCACCAAGUCAUACUUUUGUGUAACUUUAUCAGCUCCGGGCGCAUGAAAAAAAAAGCACGAAUCUCAUUGGACGACCAAAAACAAACCCCUCGACGUUAAAUAAAUUUGACACUUGGACGCCACGUGUUUUACGCCAGGGUGUGAACACUUCCAGACCGUUUUUCAUGGUGCGGAAAUCGUCCUGGUGUGAACAGGGCUAAAUAGAGGAAGUGGGGGCGUGUUCGAGUGCGGGUUUGUGAAUGGAGGGCGGAGCCGGAGAGGGUGAGUGGUAAGGAUUGCACAUCUCCAGGGAAUUGUACUUAGGAAUGUUCUGUGUUGCAGUUAGCUGAGGCGAGAAUAAAAACUUCAGAGAUGAGCGCCUCGAAAGACAGAGAGAGCCAACCAGCACAGAGCCGUGUGUGCACACUUUUGUGUCUAUAAAAUAAAACCGCUGAAAAGCGAAAGUGAAAGAUAAAGAAUAUAGUGCCUUUUCAGUUGGUUCAAGCCUGCCUCCAGCUUCCUCAUUAGCUACAAGAAUCUGAGAAAGUGUUACACUUAGGGUUUCUACAAUACAACUAUUCUAGGAGUAAGUUAUAAACUGAAAUAGACAGAAAACAUCAGCUGCAUCGCUGAUGAAGAAAGCGUCCCCAGGGGGCAGGGCCUGUCAUCAAAGGGCUGUCAGUUUUCACUCAAAAUGUGCACAUCUGAGGUCAAGCCAUAGAAAUCGUUUGCUUCCACUUACUUUUUUAUGCAGUAAUGUUUCUCUUUGUGCACUAUUUGAUAAAAAAGACAUAAAUAUAAAUACAUAGAAAUGGGCAGAGUGCACAUGUUUCUUAUUCACUUAGACAGACAUGAAAAUGGUAGGCCUUUGGAUUUCAGAAAUAUGUCCAACAUUGUCCCACACAAACUUAGUACUUGUCCCACAUUUGGUCCGGUUGCAUCUGGUCACCCUAUCUACAGUACAUGUAGGCCACAGUCUGAAAAUUAUUUUAUCUACAUUUAUCUUGUAGAAGCCAUUGCCAGGAUAAUUCAUGCAGUUCUUAAGGCCAAUAAAAAAUAAUAAUAAUAUGAAAUAAAAAGCUUAUUUGUGCAGUGGAAGUUUACGCAUCUCUUAUACACAUGAAUCACUACGGUAAAUAUACUUUAAACAACACAAAUCUCAAAUUUUGUUUGUAUUAGUGACCAUUGUGUGUUUUGUAAGAAAUCUAUGUUUAGGGAAGUAGCUGCAGUUUGAGGAAGUGAUUUCUGUCACUCUUAAAAUUCACUCUAUAGCUGUAGGUUCUCAUAGUACAACACUCAAACGUAGAACAAACAAGAGAGCCACAGGUCAAUACAGACACGUUUCAGUGUUCUUUAGCCUAACUUCAUCAUGGCCAGAAGAUCCUUCAUAUACAUCAAUCCAGCUUCUAAGGCAGCACGUCAGCGUAGACGACACAGUGAUACUUCUGAUUUACUUGCUGUGAUCGAGCGGAUGCAGAACAGCAGAAUGGAUGAGCAGAGAUGCACACUUCCACCUCCUCUUAAAGUAAGUUUGGUUGUGUAAAUCGAUAAAGUAUACAGCCAAAAGUGUGUGGACACCUGACCAUCAGACCCAAAUGUAGGGUUGAACAUCUCAUUCCAGACUUAGUUUGCCUUUGCUGUUAUAAAAACCUUCACUCUUCUGGGAAGGCUUUCCAGUAGGUUUUGGAGCGUGGCUGUGUGGAUUUGCCCAUUCAGCCAUAAGAGCAUUAGUGGGGUCAGGCACUGGUGUUGGACUAAGAGGCCUGGGGUGUAGUCGACAUUUCAGUUCAUCCCAAAGGUGUUCAUUGGGGUUGAGGGAAGGGCUCUGUGCAAGCCAAUCAAGUUCUUCCACACCGACCUUGGCAAACCUUAUCUUCUUGGACCUUGCUGGAACAGGUUUGGAACGCUUGUUUCCAGUGAAGAUAAAUUGUUAUGCUUUACAGCAUGCAAAGACAUUCUAUACAGGUGUCUGCUUCCAACUUUUGAGGUAACAGUUUGGGAAGGUCCACAUAUGGGUGUCCACAAACUUUUGGUCACAUACUGUCGAACACACACACUCCAUUUUUCUCCAUAUUUCCUGAGGUUUGAACUGUUGUCUUCAGUACAGUUUUAAAAUGCAGUGGCCUGCUCUCAAGUUAGACAGUGAGACAGCAACUCAAGGUUGUAUAUCAGUUAUAUAUAUAACAUAGGUAUUUUUGUAUAUGUAUGAUGCUUCAUCAUACUUACACAAAAAUACCUAUUUUAUACAUACAGUUUGAAGCCUUUCUUCAGUUUGCUAGAAGUGGCAGUGUAAGUAUUCUUACGUAUCUGUCACUGGCGUUCAUCUUUGGGAGGUCUUGCAGAAACCGAAUGUAUAAUAACGCUACUGCAGUGUGUGAAUGAAUCGGAAACGUAGGAGCAGUAUUAAGAAGAGCAAGGGGGUGUUUGUGCAGUGAACCCCUUCUAAGC